AAGUCAGGACAGAAAAUAAACAAGUAGAAAAUGCAUAUAUAAUAUUCUAGGUCAUAAUAAGUGUGUAGGAACAAAAAUUUAACAGGAUAAAUGGUCUGAAAAAGCCUCUUUGAUAAGAAGGUAAUUGAACAGAGAUCUGAGAAGACGGAAGUCCUUAGGAUUUCUUCGGGUAAAUUGUUCUGAAAAGUGCAAGCGUGAAAGCCCUGACAGGGAAGCCUGCUAAUCACAGCGGAGCGAGGAGAUCUGGAUGGUCAGAGCCAGAUGGAAACCACCUGCCAUGUGUUAGCUACACUAUGGAGAUACUCAAGUGGCAAAGAACUGAUGGAGACCUCUGACCAACGAGGGAGGAACUGACCUCCUCAGUCCACCAGCUUGUGAGGAUCUGGCUCCUACCAACAGAUAACAACCAUAUAAAUUGCCUGGAGGCUCUGAAAAAGGGAACAAAAGCAGGAAGAUUCUGGAGGGACUUUGAAACUGGGAAGAACGGACCAAUGUAGGCCAGAGAAAAGGAAUCACGCUUAAAACUGCAGAUGGUAGCAGCUGAAAAGGCAGCAGAUGAACAAAUUCCUGGCAUCAGAAAAUGAAAAUACUCAAGUACCAUCAUAUCUGCUGGGUCUGUGUCCCAAGUUGGAUGGCUGUUUAUACUACUCCUUGGAAAAGUUAAAGUAUUGGAUAUAUUCCACUGGAAGGUUCAAGAGCAAAAACGGAACAAUGAAGUACAGUGGAAAAAACCCGAAUAGAGGUGUGCAAAACUGGAAUUUUCCCUGUUCUGAUUGUGGCAACUUGGGUCUUUUUUCUUCUUGAACAGCAACAAGAUCCAUACCAAUAUUUCAGACUUGCAAAAUUUACAAAAGAUUAAGCAGGCUAUAGGAGAUGUCAACCAACGCACAUUUCACAGGACGGAAAACAUUGUAAAGAAUAUAAAUUCCAUGAAUUAUUGCUCAUUCCUUGAAGGAGUCAAUCACCUGGAGUAUUUGAUAUCGCAUCCAACCACACAGGAUUCAGGAAGAACAAACUCUUUUCAUGGAAAGAAGCUUUGGUUCUAAAAAUCCUUAUCACAUGGAUUUGGCCUUGGGUAAAUACACGAUAGGUAACUUACUGUGUUUGGGAAAACAGCUGUUGAUAGAUGAUGUUUUACGAAUGCAAUCUCUUUGUAUGCAAUAGUGGGGAUGAUUCAGGCACUUUCAUACACGUUAUUCAGCACUACUGGACAGAGUAAACAUUUUUCUAAAUCACAUCAUAUCUGGAGAAAGACAUCGUCCCAAUUAGAAAAUAAUUUAAACAUCUUUGCAAUUCUACAUCUGUGUCUGCUUCAAUGAGAAUAUCCCCUUGCUCCAAUCUGUCUUUUAAAGGCUACUGCUGAAAGGUCAGUUGAGAAAAAAAUAUCUACUUGACAGACAAAAGGACCGUGUUGACUAAGGUAUCCUAGAACUUCAGUGUUACUGUUGCAAUGGUAACUGCUACCAAGAAUGCAAAAGUGAUAGCUAAAGAGCAGAAGCUAUCUCUGUACUUUCUUCUUUCAAGAAAAGUCAUUAAUAAGAUAGUUGACAUAAGAGAAGUUAAGAUUAAGGUAAAAAAUUGCUAUAUUAUCAAAACAGAUAUCUUUUAAUUCUGAGAAUUGUCAAAUUAAAAAAAUUCGAUUAGUUUUUUUCUGAUUUUCUUUCCAUAUAAAUAAUUUCUAAAACUCCCAACAUGCCAUAUAUUUAUAUUAGGAUUUUAAAUAGUCUGAUAGAAAAAAAAACAAAUUAUUGCUUAAUAGAUGAGGUGGUGAAAAAGUUCUGGAAAUACAUAGUGAUGACUGAACAACACUCUGAAUGUACUUCAUGGUAGUGAAUUUUAUACUUAAAAAGGGUGAAAAUAGAAAAAAGGGAAUGUUUACAAUACACAAGAACAAUAAUGCAUAUACGGGGUAAAACUGAGUAAAGCAACUUUUUAAAAUUUUUCUUUUUAGAGCUGGACCUGAGGCAUUUGGA